UGGGCUGGCCGGGCGACCGCGGCCCCGACCUUCGGGUCGGGGGCGAGGAAGGUCCGGGCUCCACAGGGCAAGGUGGUGGGUAACACCCACCCGAGGUGACUCGCGGGAAAGUGCCACAGAGAACAGACCGCCGCCCGGCUCUCGUUUCGGCGAGGCCGGGAGGUAAGGGUGAAACGGUGGCGUAAGAGACCACCAGCGCCCCGGGUGACCGGGGCGGCUCGGCAAACCCCACCUGGAGCAAGAUCAAGAAGUCCGGUGCUUGCACCGGACGCGCGCACGACCGAGGGCUGCUCGCCCGAGUGCGCGGGUAGAUCGCUGGAGGCGGCCGGCAACGGUCGUCGUAGAUGGAUGGUCGCCCCCCGGUGACCCGUGAGGGUCCCGGGGACAGAACCCGGCCUACAGGCCAGCCCGUCCG
rnacentral:RNase_P_RNA from 1 species